rnacentral:rRNA from 1 species
AUUGAACGCUGGCGGCAGGCCUAACACAUGCAAGUCGAGCGGAUGAAGGGAGCUUGCUCCUGGAUUCAGCGGCGGACGGGUGAGUAAUGCCUAGGAAUCUGCCUGGUAGUGGGGGAUAACGUCCGGAAACGGGCGCUAAUACCGCAUACGUUCUGAGGGAGAAAGUGGGGGAUCUUCGGACCUCACGCUAUUAGAUGAGCCUAGGUCGGAUUAGCUAGUUGGUGGGGUAAAGGCCUACCAAGGCGACGAUCCGUAACUGGUCUGAGAGGAUGAUCAGUCACACUGGAACUGAGACACGGUCCAGACUCCUACGGGAGGCAGCAGUGGGGAAUAUUGGACAAUGGGCGAAAGCCUGAUCCAGCCAUGCGGCGUGUGUGAAGAAGGUCUUCGGAUUGUAAAGCACUUUAAGUUGGGAGGAAGGGCAGUAAGUUAAUACCUUGCUGUUUUGACGUUACCAACAGAAUAAGCACCGGCUAACUUCGUG